GGUGUAGCCAAGCGGUAAGGCAGCGGGUUUUGAUCCCGUCAUUCGGAGGUUCGAAUCCUUCCACC
rnacentral:tRNA from 1 species